ACGAACGCUGGCGGCUGCUUAACACAUGCAAGUCGAACGGAGUGGCGAACGGGUGAGUAACGCGUGAGCAACCUGCCUAUGACAGUGGGAUAGCCUCGGGAAACCGGGAUUAAUACCGCAUAGGCAUAGCUGGGCUCGCGUCUGAUUAGCUAGUUGGGUAGAUAACAGCCGACCAAGGCGACGAUCAGUAGACGGUCGGAGAGGAUGAACGGCAACAUUGGAACUGAGAGGCGGUCCAAAAUCCUGCGGGAGGCAGCAGUGGGGAAUAUUGCACAAUGGGGGAAACGCGGAUGCAGCGACGCCGCGUGAACAAAGAAGGUAGUCGUAUCGUAAAGUUGUGUCCUAUGGGAAGCAGUACCAGAGAAGAAAGCACCGGCUAAAUACGUGCCAGCAGCCGCGGUAAUAC
rnacentral:rRNA from 1 species